rnacentral:rRNA from 1 species
GCAGAACGCGAAGAACCUUACCAGGGCUUAAAUGCAGUCCGACAGGAUUGGAAACAGUCCUUUCUUCGGACGGAUUGCAAGGUGCUGCAUGGUUGUCGUCAGCUCGUGCCGUGAGGUGUCAGGUUAAGUCCUAUAACGAGCGCAACCCCUGCCGUUAGUUGCCAGCGAGUAAAGUCGGGAACUCUAGCGGGACUGCCGGUGCAAACCGUGAGGAAGGUGGGGAUGACGUCAAAUCAUCACGGCCCUUACGUCCUGGGCCACACACGUGCUACAAUGGCAGGUACAAUGGGCAGCCACUGCGCAAGCAGGCGCGAAUCCACAAAACCUGUCUCAGUUCGGAUCGGGGUCUGCAACUCGGCCCCGUGAAGCUGGAAUCGCUAGUAAUCGGAUAUCAGCCAUGAUCCGGUGAAUACGUUCCCGGGUCUUGUACACACCG